ACCGGGACUUGGGGAGCGAGGGAUGCAACAUGGUGCAUCUGGGAGGCCUGCUAACUGGCUAACUUCUCCGGCGUUCCUCCCGGCCGAGGCGUGGGCACAGAAUAGCGGCGGCACCGGCGCCGGUGAGGCCCAGAUAUGGUGUCUCGAUACGGCGCGGAAGGUAAGCGACCCCCGGGCCGGCGGGUCGGGGAAUGGUGCUGACCUUGGAGGCCUCGGUCCGCCACGCCGCCCUUGCGCCUAAGGUCGCCGAACGACCGCCGCCCCCCACCCCUCCACUUCCGCCUCAGCAUGGCCACCCUGGCUCGACUACCUGCACUGCAUGGUUCACCGACCUGUGAGCCCACGGAUCUGGCUGUGAGCCCAGCCUUCGGCAUCACAACUCAUUCCUUCCUCCAGCGCCGGUGCGUCUCAGGCCAUUCAUUCCCUGCGCCUUCCAGCAUCUGCUCCUCCAGCUUUUGCAGAUCAUGGCAGGGGCGCCUGCCCAACCCCCCCCNCCCCACCACCACCACCACCACCACCGGGAUGCGGUUCUCCAGCUUCCUCUCGCUGCUCAUCCCAGGUGCACCGGUUUCUGCCUCAGCCUUGUUCUCAGACAUUCGGAAUCAGUAUCCCAAGGCAAUGUUUUCCUCGCUUCUUUUUCCUCGUUACUUUUCCUUUAUAUGCAGGGCACCUCUCCUCACGUGUAGGUGCUCUGUUCACACUUCUGAGUGCUGUUAAAAUAGCAGUCCGGGUAGACAGAGAGGGGCACUUCUCUCAGUUUGGAAGCACUUUCUUCCUGGGGCUGGUUUGGAAAGCUCAGACCAUCCUGUAAGAAGUUCCUUUAUUGUUUACAAAACAUGUCUAGGAUUUUACUGCUUUCUUUCGACCAGGUAUAAUGUAGAAUGGUAUGUAGAUAAAAAUAGGGACACAUAAUAUAAAGGAUUUGUAACUUUUAAGGAGUAUGUAAUAACUCUUAGUUUUUGCCUGGAGAAUGCGUGUUCCUCCUUUUCGUAGAAUAAGACAUACCUUAAUCUAGUUCCUAUGGAGUGCACAUUAGCUCAGUUUAACGUUACCUCGAUGGGCUUUCUAAAUGUUUGAGUCUGUUAUCUCACACUGACUGGGCUUUGCCCAGGGAAAUACUGCUAGAAUCUGCCCUUCCUGUGCGGCCUGUCCUGGACACUUGGAAGGUUACCUGAAUGAAGCCCUCCAUCCAAGAAUUCAGUCUACUAGAGUGCACUCAGCUUACUGCUUAGCCUAGUUAUUUGCCAUUUUUUCCUGAAUUACUCUUGUUUUCUUUUUUUGUGUCUUUUAGGUCAGUAUGUACCUCGUUUUGUAUAUUGUCUUGAAACUUUACUCCUUUGUAUGGUAAUUAAUGCAUAUUUGUUCACUUUUUAAAAGGUGGGAUUCACCUUAAAGAUUAAUUUCUAUGAUUCUCAGGUAGAAAAAUACAAAUUUUCAAAGCUAAUGUGCUUAAAUAUGUAACUUCAUUCCUUUCAUCCCAAUUGAAAACUAACAUUCUAAAUAGUGAGAAAAAACUUCUCAACAACCAAUCACUGCUAAUAAGUUCCAAUGACGACAUAUACCUAUAGAGUCAAACAUACACCCUUCAAUAGCUUUUGAAGUGGAAAGAUCAAAGUCUUAGAUAUGGGUUUGAAUUAUGUCUCUGCUGGUUGUAUGACUUUGAGCUUUUCAUUCAUAGUUUGAAGACAUCAUUUUCCAGUUUUGGAGCCGACUAAUGAACUAGUUCUUAAGUGAAAGGCAUUUAACACGACUGUGCAUCUACAGGUACUAGGUUUCCAAGAUGCCUUUCCAGACUAAAACCCACACAUGUGAGCCGCUGGCCGGACAAACAUCUGGCACCUAACGUGGGGCUGAAAAACAGCAGAGGACAUUUGGAAGAAACACUGCUGGUUUGGAGCUCCAUAGAAGAAGAAAAUAAUUAAAGGAAAUUCAUACCAGAGAAGGUCAGUAUGGGCUAAGCUGAAACAGCGUUUAACCUGAGCGCUAAUUCGCUUAGGUUCAGCAGUGAGGCAUCUCAGGAGCUAGGAACGUAACAGGCGGUUAGCCAUAGCUCCCAGAAGCUACAUUUUUAGGCGUGAGAAAAGAAAGGGUUUAUUAAAAGGAAAUUAAUAAUAAGGCGGACUGCAUUAUGCGGGAGGAAAAUGUCCCAAAAAGCAGAGAGAAAUUUCCGGAAAGCCAUGCUUUGUUCUCUCUGGGCUUUACAGCAGAAAUACUCUGCCCCUUUUGUGUCUUGUCUAAUGUCUGGUGCACUGAAAGACCCACAACAUGAGGACUCCCCCACGUUCUGACUCAGGAGAGGCGACACCCCAAACCACUCACAAGAAACGGUCUUGCUGCAAACUGCAAGAGGAUUUUUUUAUUCAAGAGCGCUCUCGGGCCCACGGUCAUACACCACACAGGGGUAGAGGACUGUCGCGUCCUGAGUUGCUGGGAAAGUGGGUAUUUAAAGGAAGAAACCACAACUCAAGGAAGUGGGGAGGGCGUUGUUGGAAAAUAUAAAGAUACCAGUUAAGAGUCCCAAGGAAGUGCAAAGUCACAAGAGUCACAAGGAAUACCUGGAAAUUUUGCAGGUUAUCUCUCAAGACAGUUUCUAAGAGCCCCUAACAAUAGCACAUUUGCAUAGUGGGUUCCGCCAAUGGUCAGGGUGACUUUCUUUGAAUGAACACUCUUUGAACCCAGGAAGCAGGUGGGUAGAGGAAUGUCACUAUCUGUUUUAUGAUUAGCAUACCUUGGAGCAUUAAGUCACAGAGGUCACAUUCCCAAGCCUNNNNNNNNNNNNNNNNNNNNNNGUUUUUAUGUUAUACUUUCAGCACCAAUCUGUUCACAUGUUCAAUUCAUGUAUGUUCGUGUCCAGUCUGUAUGAAUGAAUGUUCUAUGUUUUAUGUUGGAUAAUAAAGAUGGCAAAAAAAAAAUAAAAAACUUUAUCUGCAAAGCCGAGAGCUGCCACGUGCUGCAACCAGGAAACAGACACAUGGCAGGAGGGCCCCUGCUGAAAAAACUGUUAUAGGAAAAAAAGGCGAGUCUACAGCCUCUCAGUUUCGGGGUAAAAAAAGCUGAUAAAUGUUUUUUUCCUGGAGGGUCCUCUACAAUCGUGAUUAAUAUGUUUGGCAAAUGAUAAAGUGCUUUUUAUUCCGUGAUUGUAGCUAGAAAAAUUAAUAUUCUCUGAUUGGUCUAAAUGUAACUGCUUCAUUUGGUUUUUUUAUUGGUAAUGUGCUCUGCGUGUUUUCACUAUCAGCUCAUAAGUUAUGGGUUAAGAUUAAUAAUUGUUACAUUGCUACAGAUGAUUAGUCUUAAAAUUGAUAACUCAAGUUUAAUGUCUUUCCAACACAUGGCAUAAGGCAGGCCGAGAGGCUGGGUCUCUAAAGAUAUUUCUAGUUAAGAUAAUAAUUAAUGUGGUUCCUAUCCUAGAAAGUAGAAUUUAAGAUAAGAGUUAAAGCAAUGUCUCUUUAUUAAAGCAUUAAAGCUUACAUGUAUUCAUAGGUAUUAAUUGGCAGCCAGGCUUCGUAAUAUGAUAGUAAUGCUUCUAAUAUUAAUUCUAUGAGUAAUAAAUUGUUUUAAAAUUAGGCUUUACUUUCCCAAAGUUAAUGUUGCAAAAGAAACUUAAUAAUUCUUUACAGAUCUAGCCAGAUGCUGUUUUAAUGAAGUUCAAGUUCAUAGUUUGUAAAGAGUCAAUCAGACCGUAAAAUUUAUCAAGGCAUUACAGUCUGGUUUGCCUACCUUUUAUAUAGUUAUUUUAAAUCCGAAGGUUUGUUUCUUUUUCUCUCUCCUUUGCAUCUUAAUGAUUGUAAAGGUUUUGCCUCUAGUGAGUUUGUAAUAACCUAAAUAUUUUGCCUCUAAUAUGGCUAAAUAUUGAUCUACAUUAUGUAAAAAAUUUUUAUCAUUUCUGCUUCUAUACAAGAAGCCAAAAUUUUUUAAUCUUUCAAUGUAUAUUUUUUCCUAAGUGAAAAAUGUUUUAUUAACUAAUGCUUCUCAAGGGAAGUUUACUUUAAAUCUUUGCUCUCACCCAAAAGAUUCAGAGACAAUAUCCUUUUAUUACUUAGGGUUUUAGUUUACUACAAAAGGUUUUACAAAAAAUAAAGAAAGCUUUUAUAGUUGUUGUUAACUAUAUUCAUUGGCAAUUAAAUAUUAGCUGUGCCCAAGACAAUUCCUUGGCCAGAAAAAACAUUGUAAAGUCAUUUUUCUGAUCCUUCCAGCCGAUCCUUGGCCCAUGUUGAGCCCAGCUAGCUGCUGGCUGCUGUGGGGCGGGGCCUUGAGACACACAGUUUCCCCCUGUUUCAGCACAAAUAAUCUAGUUGUGUGCUGUAGAUGGUGUUUUAAAAUACUGAACAAUCAAUCCUUAAUUUGUAUAUUGAUAGUCAAUGCUAUAUCUCAGAGCUCACAAUUGCUUAAGAUUGUUCGUCCCUCAGAUACUAUUAAUUCUCAAAUUUGCAAUUGCUUAUGCAUAUAUAACUCAUAGAAAAAAAUGCUGUCCUUUUAAGAAGACGGUUUUUAGACAUUUAUUAAAUUGUCCUAAUUGCCUGGACAUUUUAAAACAAUGCCAGGAUAAAUUUAUAUCUCAGACAGUCUAUAGGUCGUCCAUAUAAAAUAGAUUGGAUAUAUAACCUUGUUCUUUAUAUAUUCAUAACAGUUAUGGUUUAAGAUAAUGUUUUAGUAUUCUUAAAAAUUGUGCAUGUAUAAUUCUUUCUUUUUAGUGUCCUCAGUUAUUACUUGUUUCCACAUAAUAGUGUUAAUUCUUGAGGACUUUUACUUAAUAAUUUGCGACAAAUAAAUGCUCUUAUUUCUAGUU
ensembl:lincRNA